rnacentral:ncRNA from 16 species
UCCGUUAAAGAUCGCGCUGGUGCCCGUCAUGGGCUUAAUAGGGAAUAUGGUGCGGCCGCGCCUUGGAGUGGCCAACGCCAUGGCUGUCCCUGCAACUGUAAGCAGUGAGCGCGUCGCACGGGUUCCGGCCAUCGCCGGAACGGCCACUGGACAUAUGCGUCCGGGAAGGCGUGCGACGGGCGAUGACCUGCGAGCCAGGAGACCUGCCGGCGUGGGUCGCUCUUGC